GAUUCUUCGACUGAAAGAUGACGCAAUGGUGGGAGCUUUUUUGAUUAGAAACUUUGGGGUUUCCUAAUUUCUACAUUUUGUAGGUUGGAUGCAACCAUGUUGCAAGUCGGAUGCACAUAUUUUCAAAGUUAUCGGCACGAGAAGGACUGAGAACAGAAUCUGGACUGAUACCAACUGGAGGAUAAUCUAACAAGAUAAUGCAUCAGAGACGAAUCCAUGCGCAUAAUAAUAACCAUUGUGGAACCUGUGCUUUCAACGGAUAUUCAACAGCAUUGAAAAAAAGCUCGUAAAUAUUCUUCAAGCACGGCACUUCAAGAUAAACGAGAAAGGAUGGAAUUUCAAAGUAUUUUCGCACCCCGUUAAUAUUUUUAUUUUUACGGUGGUUGCAACUUUUAAUUUAUUAAAAUUUAUGAUCGGAAAAUUCCAGGCCAAAAAUGAAAUACCCUAAAAUUUCAUCGAAACUCGGUUAACAGAUUUUAUUUCCGAGUUCAUAUCUACUAUGUACUUAAUACAAUUUAUUGGCCCCCUCUAGAAAUAAAAAAAUAAAAGUCCUUUUUUUAAGGGUUUGAUGU